rnacentral:rRNA from 1 species
UGGUGACCAUAGCGAGCUGGAACCACCCCUUCCCAUCCCGAACAGGACCGUGAAACAGCUCCGCGCCGAUGAUAGUGCGGAUUACCCGUGUGAAAGUAGGUCAUCGCCAGGCU